UAGGAAAUAGUAUAAUUGGAAAUACGAGGAGUUUUGAGCUCUUAGUUAUAGGUUCAAGUCCUAUUUUUCUAG
rnacentral:tRNA from 1 species